rnacentral:rRNA from 1 species
CGUAGGGUGCGAGCGUUAAUCGGAAUUACUGGGCGUAAAGCGUGCGCAGGCGGUUUUGUAAGACAGGCGUGAAAUCCCCGGGCUCAACCUGGGAACUGCGCUUGUGACUGCAAGGCUAGAGUACGGCAGAGGGGGUGGAAUUCCACGUGUAGCAGUGAAAUGUGUAGAGAUGUGGAGGAACACCAAUGGCGAAGGCAGCCCCCUGGGUCGAUACUGACGCUCAUGCACGAAAGCGUGGGUAGCAAACAGGAUUAGAUACCCUGGUAGUCCACGCCCUAAACGAUGUCAACUAGGUGUUGGGUAGGGUAAAACCAUUUAGUACCGGAGCUAACGCGUGAAGUUGACCGCUGGGGAGUACGGCCGCAAGGUUA